UGAUAUUAUGUAUAUGCCAUGUUUCAAUUAUCCAUGCAUAAUUGUAGUAUUAUUCAUAAUAAUAUCAUAAAAAUCAUCUUUUAUUAUAAACUUGUAACCAAGUUUGGCCAAAAGGCCUACAGAGAUGACAUUCAUCAAAAAUGAAGGACAAUAAUAAUAGUCAUUUAACAUGAAACUACUAGACUCAAAGACAAGCUACAAAGUUCCCAAGGCU
rnacentral:lncRNA from 1 species